GAAUUUUGAAAUGUGUACUUUAGCUACCUGUCUCGUCCUGAAAUCCCAAUAUUAAGUGGUUUCUUCCUCACUGUACCAACGAGAAAAACUGUGGCACUUGUUGGUAGAAAUGGCUCGGGGAAAAGCAGUGUAAUUCCUCUGAUGGAGAGAUUCUAUGACCCAACAUUAGGUGAAGUUCUUUUGGAUGGGGAAAACAUAAAAAAAAUUGAAAGUAGAAUGGUUAAGAAACCAAAUUGGUCUGGUGACACAAGAACCAGCCUUAUUGAGUUUGAGCAUUCAGGAAAAUAUUGCUUAUGGAAGAUCUGCUACCUUUGAUCAGAUAGAAGAGGCAACAAAAACAGCCCAUGCCCAUGGGUUCAUCAGUUCACUUGAAAAGGGGUACGAAACCCAGGUUGGUCGAGCUGGUCUAACACUCACUGAUGAACAUAAAAUCAAAAUUUCUAUUGCUCGUGCUGUGCUUUCGAAUCCAUCCAUUCUUUUGCUUGAUGAGGUCACCUGAGGACUUGAUUUUGAAGCUAAGAAGGCUGUACAAGAAGCAUUAGAUGUUCUGAUGUUGGGAAGGUCAACCCUUAUAAUUGCUAGACGUCUUUGCCUCAUUAAAAAUGCUGAUUAUAUAGCUGUAAUGGAGGAGGGCCAUCUUGUUGAAAUGGGGACACAUGAUGAACUUCUAAACUUGGA